GACAGAGGGGGCAAGCGUUGCUCGGAAUUACUGGGCGUAAAGGGCGCGUAGGCGGCCAGCACAAGUCGGUUGUGAAAUCUCCGGGCUUAACUCGGAAAGGUCAACCGAUACUGGUGCGGCUAGAGUGCGGAAGGGGCAACUGGAAUUCUCGGUGUAGCGGAUGAAAUGCGUAGAUAUCGAGAGGAACACCUGCGGCGAAGGCGGGUGCUGGGCCGACACUGACGCUGAUGCGCGAAAGCCAGGGGAGCGAACGGG
rnacentral:rRNA from 1 species